rnacentral:lncRNA from 1 species
UCGUUUGAAAUUACCGAAUUUUGUAGUUAUUUGUGGCGAGUGGUGGUGGGCAUGGCAACGUUUAUAUAGACACCUUCUCUCGUCAAUGUAAACAAACACUAUUUUGAAAAUUGUUUACUUUGAAAGAAGAUUAGCUGGAGAAAUUAAUUUCACCGACUUUUAUGGUAAACUAUCAAAGAAUUCUCUCAGAAACUUUGGAAGAUUACAAACCAACCCAGAUUCUACUUUCUUCUUCUGCAGACCCCCAAGGCAACUAAAGCUAAACUUGGCACCUAAGUUAUCUCUCUAAACAACAAUUAAAAUCCAACAGAAGCGGCAGCACUAACAGACUUCAUUUCAACUGAUACAAUAAAUGUCUACACAUUUCUUUCUCUGGGUCAGCAGGGGAGGAUUUCUCUGUGUGUGUGUGUGUGUGUGUGCGUGUGUGUGUGUGUGUGUGUGCACGUGUAUGCUUGUGUUCGAUUGGGCUUGAAAGAGUGUGUGUGUGUGCUGUGUGUGUGUGUGUGUAUGUGUGCUGUGUGUGUGUGUGUGCUGUGUGUAUGUGUGGUGUGUGUGUGUGCGUGUGUGUGUGUGUGUGUGUGUGUGAAUGUAUCUGCUUGUUUGUGAUUCUGAACUUCUGUUUCUUUUUGUUGUUUUGUGUGCUUUUUUAUUGUCUGUGUGUGUGUGUGUGUGUCAUUGUGCGUGUGUGUGUGUGUGUGUGUCAAUAUGUAUGUGUGUGUGUGUCAAUGUGUGUGUGUGUCAUUGUGUGUGUGUGUGUGUGUGUGUGUAGAUGGUAAAAAUGUAGUUUGGGGAGAGAGAGGGGCUGAAGUAGUUUUUAGCUGUCACUUUAGUCUUAUUGGUACCGAUUGGUGUUUGUACAGUUAACAGCUCGAUAUUAUCAACAACAACAACAACAACACUAGUAGUAAACUGGACUGAUGAAAGGAAGAACUGAGAGAGGGGUGGAGGUGGGGGGGGGGGAGAAUAGAGUUAUAGAUUUUAUUUUUUUACUUUCCUAUCUCAAUUACCACUUCCAUCUCCACACAGUUGUUAGAUUUCCAUCAUCACCACCACCACCACCACCACCACCACCAUCAUCAAUAUCAGCAUCACUCUCACCACCACCACCACCACCACUAUCAACACCAUCAUAAUCACUAUCCUCACCACCACCACCAUUCCAUAUCACCACCACCUCCCUCAUCAUCAUCAACACCAUCAACAUCAUCAUCACCACACCACCACCACCACCACUAUCAACACCAUCAUAAUCACUAUCCUCACCACCACCACCAUUCCAUAUCACCACCACCUCCCUCAUCAUCAUCAACACCAUCAACAUCAUCAUUAUUUUUGUCACCAUCACCACCACCACCACCACUAUCACUACCACCACCACCAUCACCACCACCACCACCAUCACCUCCACCAUCACUACCACCACCACCACCACCACCGCCAUCACCACCACCACCACCACCACCACCAUCACCACCACCAUCACUACCACCACCACCACCACCACCAUCACCACCACCACCACCACCACCACCACCCUGAUUGUUGUUGACAUCUCUGGUAAUUCUCUGCUUGUUAUGACAUUUGUCUGCUUGAGUGUUACUCUUUAAACAAUCGUAACUAAGGAACGAAACUGAAGACAGAAUUGGAAUUUUUACCACAAAGAAGUGAGAUGUUGUGAGGAUGGAUAUAAAUUUAGACAUCAGAAUCGAAACAGAUUAAGCAUUUCUAAAACACGGAAAUUCCUUGGGUCCUCCUCUCUGUUAUUAUUGGAAAUGAUCAAUAGUAGAGUAUGGAAAUGAAUGCCCUACAGCAAGGGUCUCCAGCUACCAGGUGACAGUACUGAGCCAGGAAUCAUUUGGGACCAGGCCACACAAAAGGAAUAAACUUUAAAAUUCAUUUCCAUUUUAUUGACCACCACAGUCUGUAGGGUGCUUUUACAUUAUAGAUGUCAAAAGUGGUGAGAUGGCAGAAUGGUUAGCAUGCCAGGCAAAAUGCUUAGCAGCAUUUCGUCUGUCUUUGUGUUCUGAGUUCAAAUUCCAUGAAGGUCAACUUUACUUUUCAUCCUUUUGGAGUUCAUCAUCAUCGUUUAACGUCCGUUCUCUAUGCUAGCAUGGGUUGGACGGUUCGACCGGGGAUCUGGGAAGCCAGAAGGCUGCACCAGGCUCCGGUCUUAUCUGGCAAUGUUCCUACAGCUGGAUGCCCUUCCUAACGCCAACCACUCCGUGAGUGUAGUGGGUGCUUUUUACAUGCCAGAUAAAAUAAAUACCGGUCAAGCACUGGGGUUGAUGUAAUCAACUCAGCUCCUCCUACCCACCCCGAAAUUGCUGCCCUUGUGCCAACCAAAAUUUGAAACCAUUAUGUGUGUAAAAUAUAUGUAAUAAUUAAAUUAUAUAUAAUGCAUUUUAUUGUGUUUUGUUAUGCAUUUCAUCCUCCAGUCUGUGGAAAAAUUGUCUUCCAUGAAACCAGUCCAUGGUGCAAACAAAGAUAAGGGCCAUUACCCCCACAGCAUUUAGUUAUGUUGUUCUGGUGUUAAUUCUGUUCAGGGUCAGAUUUUGUAUUUCAUCCGGUCAGAUUUGAUAAACUAAAAAAGGGUAACAUGUUUGGAUUGAGGCAGUUGACUCCAUUCCUUUCUUUCAAUGACUGUCUUCAGACGUAGACUAAAGACCAUUAAUAGAAAAUAGCCUUAGAGUUGAAGGCAUCCAUACUUGGGUUUUGGGUUUGUUUUGUUGCAUCCCUCAUCAAUGAAUUAAAAUAGUGGGACUGAGUUAAUCAUGUGUAACCACAUCAUCAUCAUCAUCGUUUUAAUGUCCACCUUUUCAUGGCUUCAGGGGUGGGAGAGGAUGUGUUGAGGCAGAUUUUCUAUGGCUGGAUGCCCUUCCUGUCAUCAACCCUUAUUUAUUUCCAUUUUCAAGUAAGGCAAUAUUUCCCUGUGGCCAGAGGAUUCCUCAAGCUUAGAAACAAAUCACAUUAGUUUACAGCAAUCAUGUGAUGUUAAGGCUAUGCCCCCCCCCCCCCCGCUCCCCACAGACAAAUGAUGGGCUUCUUUCUGUUUUCAUCUAUCAAAUCCACCUCUAGGACUUUGUUCUGCUUGAGGCUUUAGUAUAAAAUACUUGCCCAAGGUUCCAUGUAGUGGGACUGAAUGAGAAUUAUGUGGUUGGGAAACAACCUUCUUUUAACUACACUACAAUUCACAACAAAGCUGUUUUAUGCUUCUGCAGUAAUGGAAACGGCUCAGACAGUUUGAUGCUUUCCUGGGACAAACUCUACAAUGUACUAUUUAACAUUGAAUAAAAUACUAGCAAUAUAUGGUGGUGGUUGUUUUUAUGAAAUCUACCUCACUCUUAUAAAAGUUUGAUCUUGCUUCCUUGUCAAAAGAAAUCAGUUAUUGUUCACAUUCAAUCAUAAAAACAAGCAAAGCCAGUGUCGAAAAACCAGACAUUAAAAUAAUAAUGAUAAACUAUUGUAUGUUUCUAUUGUAUGGAAAGACCAAGAUAGCUUCAUGUACUCUAGCUUUACGGGCGGUGGGGGAGGUGGGGGUGGGGGUAGUUCGGAGCAGCAUUAAGCUGUUUGUGUAGUUUUUUUUUUUCCCAUUUUGUACGUCUGUUCACCGUUUUAUUGUAAUUCCAGCCUCAUACAGAUGAAACCUACUCUGUGUGUGUAACAAUACUGUUCUGCCUUUAUAUUUAUUCGGAGCUGGGCAAAUCCAACUGCAUUGUCCGUUUCUACAUUUGUGCCUGUCUUUAAUUUGCUUCAGUUUAAUAAUUAUAAAUAUUUACUCUGUAGUUACUUUGAAGAGAUAUUUGUAUCUCUACUAAGAUGGGGGGUGGUGCUGGCAGGCACAUCAUGAGAUGGUUGAAGUGGGCUGCUGGAGUUUUGUGGGGCAUUCGUUCUGCAAAGCUCUGACUGAGCUUGGAAUUACUGCUGCACCAAAGUGUGGGGGGGGUGGUCGUUAGAAAUUUCAUUGCUGAUGCUGUAGAGAAGGCUUUGGAUAAAAGGGGCAGACCAGUAGCUUGCUGUUAUUGGGUUACUGGCUGGGACUCGAUCAGCGCCAGCUGGGUCAACUGAGUAAGGGGUCUGAUGUUGAAAGACCCAGAACACUGUGAGACCCCAGAAACAUGACUGAUAAUACAUUCCAGAGCAUCCACAACAUGCAUCUUGAAACUAAAAACAAGGAAUGCAGGGAGACAGUGUCCCUUUUUUGCUUCAAGAUUCUUUACAUUGACAUCUGGUCUUUUUACUUCUAUUUCUAAGUCUUCAUACAUAGCUAGGUGAUAUGCUAUUACGGCCCCAGUAUUUUCAGAUUUAGUUAUGUUUAGAGAUAAAAAUCUGUUUCAGAGACUGAAGCUGAUUAUCAAAGGAAAAUGUAUUUUAUAUUAUUGUGUAUAGUCUUCUUCAAAGUCUGUUUGGAAACAAUUUCACUCUUCUGUGUAAAUUUAGGUCAGAAUUAACUGAUUUAAAAAAAAAAUUCUACCUGAAACUUGUGCACAUUGAUAAAUUUGUGUAAAGGUUACAGUCAUAAGUCAUCAAUGAGAGACCAGAUAAGACUUGGGUGUGUGUGUAUUUAACUAUAAAUCUAUAUGUAUAUUUAUAUGCACAGUUUACAUUAGUGUGUGUGUGUGUGUGUGUAUUCUUUUAAUAGAAUUUGUUAACUUUCUGGAAGCCAAGGUUUUCAUGCUGAUAAAAAUCAUCAGUUUUUCAAUCCGGAUUCAAAUAACAGAUGACAUUCCACCAUUAAAGAUGACAUUUCAAAAACAUUGACAUAAAUUCUAUUUAUAAGAAUUAUUUACCCGUCUCCCAGUGUUGAGCACUCAUUUAGUCAGCCAGGGUGUGUGUGAGUGUGUGCAAUUUCCUAAUCUAUUAAAACCUAUAGUUUUCUUUCUGUCUCUUGUAAAUGCUGUCUUAAUUUAUCGCUAAUACUUCAGUUUUUUUUUCCUGUCAGGUGAUUUAUUCUGUCUCAGUCAAUAUUUUCUAAAGAUUAUUUAUACCCGCAAUUGAAUAUUAGAAAUAUAUUCAUUGUCGUUGUUUAAAAGCCUUGAUGAGCUUUUAAUUCCAGCCAUGGCAGCUCCUUUUUAGGGUUAUCUCCCUAUAUUAUCCAUGGUAUCCUUUUCUUGUUUUUAAAGACAGUUGUGUGAGAUUUGAAGGAAAUCUUGCUGUUAUUUGUAGCUGAUCAAGUGACGAUGUAGAGACUUCUUGCCUGCUCAUCAGUUAUGUUGCUAUUGCUGUUUAGCCCCAGGCCAAUCCUCACUGAGUGAACCUAUGUUCAUUGCUCUUCUGGCUUUUUAAGGAUAUCAACAACUACAUUAUCCUAUGUUUUUCUUUUUUCUAUAGCACAGUGGAAUUAUCUAAAGUUUCGUUGCUAUUUCUAGCAGGUUGUAAGACAAUGUAGAGACUUGCUUCUUGGCUUAGAGACACACAGUCAUAUAGCAUAUUAUGUAGACAGGGUUAAAAUCCCAGCUGUGUCCUCUUGAAGCACAUCUGUUUAUUCUAGAAUUCCAAAUCCGUGUGUAGAUGCUAUAUUUGUGUGAGGUAAGCAUAAGAGUUGAACAUUCUGGGAAAUAUUUUUUGAUGAGUAAUUAUAUACCAAAACAGGAGAUUGGAAAAAAUUUUUGGUAUUGUUUGUUUCCCAUUACACGUGUUUCAUUUGCUAAUAGGAAUUACAAAAUUGCACAUGUAUAAGAAACAUGUAAUAAAUCUCUUAUUAGAAAAUCCAUCCGACAGAAUCAAAUAAUAUCAUGGUAUUAUUAGAUUCUCUGUCUGAAGAAAUUUUCAUAGAAUUAUUACAUGUUUCUCCUACAUGUACACACACUCACACACAUAUGCACUCAUGCGUACACACAUAUGCAUAUGCAUGCAUGCACACACACACACACAAUCUCAUGCACAUGCAUGCACGCACACACACACACACACCUUGUUGUGUAAUAUAUGGAUUCAUAGAAUCAUGUGGCUAUCAUGGCUAGCAUGCAUAUUAAUGCAGGCAUGUGAAAUAAUUUAUUUUACACUGAAAUUAUUGUUACAUGAUGAAAGCUGUUAAACAGCUGUAAUUCUAAGGAUUAUAUAUAUAUAUAUAUAUAUACGUAUGUAUAUAUAUAUUCUUUUACUUGUUUCAGUCAUUUGAUUGUGGCCAUGCUGGAGCACUGCCUUUAGUAGAACAAUUCAACCCCAGGACUUAUUCUUUGUAAGCUUAGUAUUUAUUCUAUUGGUCUCUUUUCCCGAACCGCUAAGUUACGGGUAUGUAAACACACCAACAUUGGUUGUCAAGCAAUAUAUAUAUAUAUAUAUAUAUAUAAAUGUUUAUAUAUAUAUAUGUAUAAAUGUUUAUAUAUAUAUAUAUAUAUAUAUAAAUGUUUAUAUAUAUAUAUAUAUAUAAAUGUGUGUGAAACAUCUGAAAGAAACAAGAAUAUUCACCAGGUAGUGUUAAAGAAAAUACUGUUGGCAUGUGUAGGAAGCAGCAUCCUGGAGUUAGAAGAUGUGGUUUAAUUGUAAUUCUUGUCCAACCACUCACCCAGUCUCCCCCAUCACAAGCGCAACAUGUUUAUACACAGAUACUCGUACAAAAAAACCCCAAUUUCUGAACAAACUGGAAUCAGGGGAAAGAAAACAGCCAGAGCUUUAUUGUUUGUUUCUGUGAACCUGUGAAUGCUGGAGACUAGCAUGUUUAUACAGUAAUUACAGAGAACGAUGUAAGACACAUAUAUUAAAAUAAAUAUCUUUUUCAAUAGCAAUAUGUAUAAACAUCAUAUUUCUCUUUACUGAAGUGAAAUAUAACUAUGUGGCUUUCCAACUGCUAUGAACAUGUAUACAUAUACAUGUUUGUAUAUGUGUGUAUGUAUGUGUGCGUAUGUGUGUGUGUGUGUGUGUGUGUGUGUGUGUGUGUGUGUUUUAUAUAUAUAUAUAUAUAUAUAUAUAUAUAUAUAUAUAUAUAUAUAUAUAUAUAUAUAUAUAUAUAUAUAUAUAUAUAUAUAUAUAUAUAUAUAUAUAUAUAUAUAUAUAUAUAUGUAUAUAUAUAUAUAUAUAUAUAUAUGUAUAUAUAUAUAUAUAUAUAUAUAUAUAUAUAUAUAUAUAUAUAUAUAUAUAUAUAUAUAUAUAUAUAUAUAUAUAUAUAUAUAUAUAUAUAUAUAUAUAUAUAUAUAUAUAUAUAUGUAUAUAUAUAUAUAUGUAUAUAUAUAUAUAUGUAUAUAUAUAUAUAUGUAUAUAUAUAUAUGUAUAUAUAUAUAUAUAUAUGUAUAUAUAUAUAUAUGUAUAUAUAUAUAUAUAUGUAUAUAUAUAUAUACACACAUAUGUUUGUAUAUAUAACAAGACUAACACAGACAAACAUGAGUGUGUAUACAUCUGCUUAUGCCCAAGAAAAAAACUGUUGCUACAUUUACAAGUGAUUGUGAACACGUGCGUGUUUAUAAUUAUAAACAUUUAGUAGAAUAUUGUCAAACAAACCUAUAUAUUCAUAUACACACACUGAGAUAAAACAGUACAGGAAUAUAGCAGAUUAAUGCUUUAGAUUUAUGCAUGGUGGUGGUGGUGGUGGUGGAAGUAUUUAUAUCGGCCUAAAAAAAAAGUGGAUUUGCUGUGUGUUUGUGUGUGUGAGAGUGUGUGUAUGUAUAUGUUUAUACAAAAUAUAUAGCAAAUCCAUUUUCUGUUUAUAUACAUAAAUCCAUAUACACAUUAGCACUCACAUGCACUUAUACACACACACACACACAUAGGCACAGAGAUAUGUGUGUGGGUGCAUCUAUUUGCAUGAAUAUGUGUAUGUAUACAUGAAUAAUAUAUAUAUAUAUAUACACACAUAGGUAUGCAUGCAAAUCUAAUGGGUAUGGUUUUGUGUGUGCAUAUAUUUUGUUGUGCAUGUGUACACAAAUUUAUGCACACACACACACAUGCACACAUACAUACACACACGUGUACACACACACACACAGACGCAUAUGUACAGAGAGAACGCAGAGUAGGUGAAGCAAGGAGUGUGUGAAAGAGGCCAUAGAAAUGAAGUUUGAGUGAGUGGGAGGACACAGUUGAAGGGAGCAGAAUCGACAAACAUUUCUGAAUGGGACAAGGAAUGUUUUUGUGAAAGGACUCUUUGGAGGAGUCAUUGAUGAAAAACAUGUUAUUGGUUCCAUAUCUUCAGUUAUGUUCAAUCAAAUUCAAUGUUUUCCUCCUCCUUCUCUUCCCCUCUCUCUCUCUCGCUCUUUCUCUCUCUCUCUCUCUCUCUCGCUCUCUCUCUCUCUCUCUCUUUCUCUCUGUCUGUCUCUCUCUCUCUCCGAUUCAUUUUGUAUUGCUGCUCACUUGUAUUUACCUUGCAGCAUUCUGCUUAUCUUCAUUUGUCAUAGUAUACAAGUCAAAGGCUGUUUUAUAGUUUCCUGUUAAUUCUUCUUUUAAAAUUGCAAUUCAGUUGAACCACACACACACACACACACAUGUUUAUUUAGCCAUUCGUUCAUGAAGCCUGUCUCUAUAUAUGUAGGCAUGCAUGCAUGUCUGUGCGUUCACACCUUUGCUUAAUAGAUUCCAGAUAAGCACAAGCAUGCCUGUGUGGUUGAGGAACUUGCUCUUCCAACCAUGUGGCCCUGGUUUCAGUCCCACUGUGUGGCCCCUUAGGCAAGUAUCUUCGACUAUAGCACCAGACCGACCAAAGUCUUGUGAGUGAAUUUUGUCAGUGGAAACUAAAAGAAGCCCAUCAUAUAUAUGUGUGUGUGUGUCGUUUGUCCCCCAUCAGUGCUUGACAGUGUUAGUCUAUGUUCCUGUAACUUAGCAGUUUGACAAAAGGGAUUGAUAGAAUAAGUACCAGGCUUAAAACAGAAAAGGUACUGCAGUUGAUUUGUUUGAUUUAAGCCCUUCAAGGCAAUGCUCCAGCAUGGCCGCAGUCCAAUGACUGAAACAAGGAAAAGCAAAAAGAUAAGGAAGGGAGCAGAAAGGGGAGGGGGGAUGUUUGGGUCGGUCGUAUUACAGGGAAGGAAAGGGUCUACCAAACACCCUGAUAUUUCUUGAGGUAGACUAGGGCUCUUCUCAAAUAGCUGAUGAUCAAGUUUCAUCCCCUUACGUCCCAUACUUUCCAAUGUUGAAGUUUCUCUCUCUCUCGUUAUCUUUUUAAAUGGCUUUCUACUAUUGUUACUUAAUUAUCUCGUUUGUUUCUUUCAUCUCUUCUUUUUAUGGUGUUUAUUACAUUCCUCCUUCUUCUUCCUUCUUCUUCCUUCUUCUUCUUCUUCUUCUUCUUCCUUCUUCUUCUUCGUCUUCUUCUUCUUCUUCUUCUCCUCCUCCUCCACCUCCUCCUCUUUCUUCUUCUUCUUCUCCACCUCCUCCUCUUUCUUCUUCUUCUUCUUCUUCUUCUCCUCCUCCUCCACAUCUUCCUCUUUCUUCAUCUUCUUCUCCUCCUUCUUCUUCUUCUUCUUCUCCUUCUUCUUCUUCUUCUCCUUCUUUUUCUUCUUCUUCUUCUUCUUCUUCUUCUUCUUCUCCUCCACCUCUUCCUCUUUCUUCUUCUUCUCCUCCUCCUUCUUCUUCUUCUUCUUCUCCUCCUCCUCCUCCUCCUUCUUCUUCUUCACUUUCUAUGGCAUGACAUGGAUGUAAUUUCAUUUUUGUAAUUCAUUUCAAUGUUCUAAAUAACAUUAAACUGGGCCCUUUUUCUUUUGAUGUUGUAGCAAUGAACAGGACUCUUAACCCAUAACUUUGCUGUGUUUGUAUACAUAUAUAAUACACACACACACACAUAGAUCACUCAUAUAUGUGUGUGUAUGCAUGUGUGUGUGUGUGCGUGCAUCCAUCUCCUUUAAGAGUAUAUUUCUAAAGCUUUACUCUCUGACGAUCUUCAGGUUAUAACCCUCUGAGGGAACAUAAUGAUCUAACAAAGAGUGUGUUACAUAAUAUCUGUGCAUGUCUGUCUGUGUGUCUGUGCAUGAAAGCAGUGACUGGGUGUAGUUGAUGUGAAGAUAGGGAAAUAGGAGUGUUGGCUGAGUUACUGCCUUUAGAACAAUAUUAGUAAAUACUUAGCGACUGCUGGAGUUGCUGUCUUUACAGUUCAGUUUCGUCAUCAUCAUCAUCAUCAUCGUUUAACGUCCGUUUUCCGCGCUAGCACGGGUUGGACGGUUUGACCGGGGUCUGGGAAGCCAGGGGCUGCACCAGGCUCCAGUCUGAUCUGGCAGAGUUUCUACAGCUAGAUGCCCUUCCUAACGCCAACCACUCCGCGAAUGUAGUGGGUGCUUUUUACGUGCCACCUGCACAGGUGCCAGGGGGUCCGGCAUCGGCCACGAUUGGUUGGAGCUUUUAACGUGCCACCGGCACGGAAGCCAGCCAAGGCGGCGCUGGCAACGGCCACGUUCGGAUGGUGCUUUUUAUGUGCCCUCUACACUAAACUCAGUCUUCCAUCAGCUGGAGGCAGGUUAUGCACAUCAUUAACGGGGACACUGUGGCCCCUCCUGCAUCUGUUUUAGAUCUAUCACAACCCAACCUGAAGGAUAUACAUUUGCUAUUCAGGAAAUGGAGAUAGUUAUUGAACUUUUGGUUAAUAAACGAGGUAAGGAUCCUUCUCAAACUCCAUGUGAUAGGGAAUGCCAUUUGGGCCCUGGCUGUAGGGAAGAUAUCACUUGCUUCAUCAGUAAUUGUCCAAAAAUGCCCCUUAGGUAGGACCCUUCCAUGAGACAUGAUAUUGUUGCUUAUAACAUUUACGAUGUUAUUCAUUGGAAGAGUUGUUCUGAUGAUCUUAAGAAAGCGACAUCAGAGCCAGAAUAAUAUCCACACUUUUAGAAAUAUGGAAUAUUGGUGAAAUAUUUUAAUAAAAGAAAACAAACAAGAAUCUGGUGCAAUCAGGACAGAGCUUGCCUUGUUCUGUGGGACAUGGCAGUGAGUGAUGCACAGUUGCAGAGGUUGUUAUCUGCCUGGUGGAUGUGAAUGGCUAUGAUGUAGGGUGAACAAACAGGGAAGUUUUGUAUCCAAAUUAAGGAUUUUCAUCUGUAGCUAUUAUCCUAAUGGUGUGUGGUCAUGUGAUGACAGAUUUGAUAAAAAUCUAAAAAUGCUUGGGUUUUCCAAAGAAGACCAAAGCAAACUGACUCACAUCCACCAGAUGGAUAAUUCCAGAAUAACAAGAUCAACCCAAAUCACACACACACACACACACACACACACACACACACACACACACACACACACACACACACACACACACACACACACACACACACAUGCACACACCUCUUCAAUGCUUAGUUGUUUAUUGGUACUUGGCUACUUUUAAGAUUAGUUCUUUUGUCAGCCAUGAUAUUUUCCUUUUGGGAAAGGCACAAAACUCUGUCUGACCUCAGGAUCCCUUUUUGCUUCAUGGUUACAUAACCCAGAAGUGACCACUCCCUUCUAGCAAUCCUGCACAGUGUGAUAGGAUCUGUCAAAACAAUUCCGUUCAGCCUAGCAUGAAUAAAAUGGAUUUAAGCAUUGUAUAUGUGUGUGUGGAUAUAUAUGCAUCCAUGAACACAUACUCACACACACACACACACACACACACACACACUCACACACACACACUCACACACACACACACACACACACACACACACACACACACACACACUCACACAUUCUAGAAUGAAAUGUUGGAAUGUUCAAUAUAAACUGGUUAGGGUUAGUAGGGCUAUUGACUCAUCCAUGAUAUGCUAAUGAUGCACUUGGCUGUGGAUUGCUGCAGUUCUUGGAGCAAAAUGCAGAUAAGCAAAUCUAUCUAUUUCCGUCUCAUCAGAUGUUAUAUAUUUUUAAUUGGCUAAUUUCAAUGGAAAAACUGGUCAAUACACACAUAAACGGUAUUGGUGUUUGCAGAUUAGAAUAUUCUUCUUCCAAUUAUUGCCUCUCGUAGUUGAACCUGUUUCAAAUCAUAAUUACCACCACCACCACCACCACCACCACCAUCAUCAUUUGCCCAUCCAUCUAUCAACUCAUCUUUUGUUUAAUUCUGUUUCCACUUCGUUUUGGAUCCUUUGAUCCCAGGGUCUUAUAUUUAGGAAACGUGUUUUGUUUUUAUGAAGUGUAAGGUGGUCAGCUAGCAGAACCGUUAGCAAGCUGGACAAAUUGCUUGGCACCAUUUUCUCCAUCUUUAUGCUCUGUGUUCAAAUUCUGCUGGGGCCAACUUCCCCUCCUCCACAACUUCAGGUCUUGUGCCAGUAUUAGAAAGAGUGUUUGUAUUUUAGUCCUUUCUUUCCAUUCAUGCUUUUUGAAGGGGUUUAUGAACAAAAAAAAAGCACAGUUAAUUGAUUCCACCCCAGUAUAUAACUGUUGUUUGUGUCAUAAACCUGGCGGGAAUUUUAAACUGCAUUUUAUAUUGUGUACAUCCUCUACUAUAUCUUUUUUUUUAUUAUCCUUUUACUUGUUUCAAUCAUUAAACUGCAGCCAUGCUGGAGCACUGCCUUGAAGAAUUCUUGUUAAACAAACCAACCCCAGGGCUAAUUUCUUUCUUUACAAGCCUGAGAGUUAAUUUGUUGGUCUCUUUCUGCUGGACUGCUAAGUUACAGGGACAUAAACACACCAACACCCAUUGUCAAGCAGUGGUGAAGGACAGACACAGACACAAAUACACACACACACAUGCAUAUGUAUACAACAGGCUUCUUUCAAUUUCCAUUUACCAAAUCCACUGACAAGGCUUUGGAUGGCCUGAGGCUAUAGUAGAAGACACUCGCCUAAGGUGCCAUGCAAUGGGACUGAACUCAGAACCAUGAGGUUGGCAAGCAAACUUCUCACCACACAGUCACACCUGUGCCUAUAGACACAGGUGUUUACAAUUGCUCAAGAAUCCAGUUUCCUCUGCCUAAUUUACCAAGACUAACAUUUCAAGCUGGAAUGAGAACAUCCUUGAAUCACCAAAAUAUUAGUCUCACACACAGGUAAUUAACAAUCGGUUUAAUAAUUAACAGGUGAGCACUAAUUAUGUCAAUUUAUUGUUUUGCUAGAAUUUAAAGACAAUAAAGUUAAUGAAAAGCCAACGAUAUUUCACAAAACACUGUAUUCUGAUUUUAAAAUUAGGCAGCAGAAAUUGAAUGAUGUGACUCUUUAAAAUCACAAAACUUAUGAGUGUGCUGAAGGUGUUUUCAUCUCCAUGUGCCUGGAAGUGUUUAUGUUUGUCAGGGCUGGGUAGAAACAGCUGUGUGAUUGUUUGAGGAGUUAGAAAUAACAGUCAAAUCUCCUUCAUAGUGCAGGCUGCUGUCUUGAAAGAAAUAUACUGGAAAAAAAAUUAAUCUUGAAAAUAAUAUGGCAGCAAAGUUGGGAUUGUCAUAUUUGGAAUGUCAGUAAAACAAAUCAAAUUCAAAAUUGAGAGGAGUGUUUUGCAUUGGCCUUGGGAUGUUCAGAGAUGGUUGAGAUGGUAUCUUAAAGAGCUGUUUCUGACACACGCACACAUACACACACACACACACAGGAUCCAAUUCAUGACAUCAUUGGUUAAUACCCCCCCCCCUCCGGCCCACAACACCUCAUUAACACUUAAAAUGGAGAUGAAAUGUCAAAACAAGUGAUAGAGACGAUGAUUACUUUUAUCUAUCUAUAUCGAUAAGUCUUUUAUAUAUAAGCCAUUAGCGGAAGACUUUCAACUAAAAUGAUCUAGAAAUAUAUUUUAAUUCAAUUCCCUAUUUACCACCACCACCACCAUCCUGCUCCACCACCACCAUCCUGCUCCUAGGCACAAACACAACAAAUGGAAUACACCAGAAGAGUUAACUACCUUAUAUAUAUUUAUCAGAUACUUCAUUACAAACUAUUUGUCCUUUAAAAGGGAAUGUAACACUCCUCUCAAAAUGAAUGCGAUUAUUAUUAUCAUUAUUUUUAUUAUUAUUAUUAUCAUUAUUAUUAUUUUUAUUUUUAUUAUUAUUAUUAUUAUUAUUAUCAUUAUUAUUAUUAUUUUUAUUAUUAUUAUUAUUAUUAUUUUUUAUUAUUAUUAUUAUUAUUAUUAUUAUUUGCACUUCUUUUUAUGUCAUGAUUGCUUUUAUCUCUUAAAAAAAAAAAGAAAGCAAGCAAAGCAAGCACACAAACUGUCUCUAGGUUGUGUUUUGUCGCUGGUGCAAAGCCAGUUCACCUCAUUAUAAAAGUGAUGCUAAGUGCAGGCUUGUCUAUAUUAUCUUACAUUAUAACUAUUAACCUUCAGAAAGCUUUAUUGAAAUGCUCAGAACAUCAUGAAAAUUCAUUGAAUACUUUUUAUUAUCGUUUUGUAAAAUAAAAAUUCUUUUAAAUCUAUUAAGUUUCCUUUUCUCCUGUGACUAUUCUGAUAUAUUAAAAGUGUAAACUAGAUAUAGGUUAAUUCUUUGUUGCUCCGCUUCUUUUUGUUGUACAAAUACUUUCAACAUGAUUAGCUUGGUAAGCUGUUAUUUAUUCACAUUUUCUUAUAAUCUCUCUUUCUAUUUCUUUUUCUUAAAAAAAAAAAAUGUAUAUUUUUCUCUUUAAUACGGUUCAGAUUUAAUUCUUCAAGGCAAUUUCCAGCAUUUGACUUGAUUUCCCCCACCCACCCCCAUAACUAUCAAUCUUUUCCUUAUUUUCAUUUUGCAUGGUAAAAAUUUCAAUUAAUAUUCAUAAAUAAAAUCUUUUAAUAUCUCAAAUUUAUUACAAAAAAUAACCAAGUUGUUAAUAAUAAUAAUAAUAACAAUAAUAAUAAUAAUAAUAAUAAUAAUAUGAUUUUUUGUCACUUAACAGUUAAUGGUUAAAGAUUUAUAAAAAAGAAUUUUCAAAGAUUUGUGAGAGGCAAUGUCUUAACAAGACUAAGUGAAAUUCCAAGAAAUUUAUUAUUAUUAUUAUUAUUAUUAUUAUUAUUAUUAUUAUUAUUAUUAUUAUUAUUAUUGUUGUUGUUGUUGUUGUUGAUAUAGAAGUGAGUGGGAUAAGCUUGUUGCUAGGUUUAACUCCAAAUUUCUAUUGGUUAAUAACUAGAGCUCCUAACUGUAUAGAUGGGUGGGUGGGGGCAGGGUAGGGCAGAUUUCCUUUUUUUUUUUUUCUUUUUCUUUCUAAAGGGCUUUGAUAGAAUUUGUUGUUUAGAAGAACUUAGAGCAAGAUUAAGGACAGGAGCAAAUGGAUCGACAAAAGCCGCAUCAUAUUUUUCAAUGAGGCGAAUAUGAGUUUGAAUUACAGAAGCUUAACCUAUUGCAGUAAGUUAGGAAAAGCAGAGUGUGGUGGUGGUGGUGGUGGUGGAGGGGCCUGGGGAUAGGGAGAAAGAGUUUAAUAAUAGGUUGAUGGGUUUUUGGUUUUUUUUCAGAUUAUCUCGUGAAGAAAUAGGUGCCAAUCAGAGUGUUAUAUUGAUAUCUCUUUGGUUCUGUCGCUAGCAUUAGGUGAUAUGCUGUUUUAGCUUUAAAUCAUAUUUAAAUGAAAAACUGAAGUUUAUGUCAGAUAAGAUUGAAAUUGAAAUUUUUAAAUAUUUUUCAAAACUCAAAAUGAAAAUCUCUUGCAUAACCAAAUUCUUUUUGCUUCCUUGAUUUUCACUGGAAUUUUUAAUCCUGGCCAGCAGGGUUUAUUGAAAUAUUGUAUUCCAUUUGUUAGACUUCUCGGUAAAUACUAUUCUAGAAUUGAUGUAAGGAAGCCAAAAUUAAUUAAUUAUAACAAACAGAAAAUUAUAAUUAACCAGGCAUGUGGUAAGAAGUGCACUUCCCAACCACUUGGUUCUGGGUUCAGUUCCAAUGUGUGAUACUUUGGGCAAGUCUCUUCUACUAUGGCCCUGAGCCUACCAAAGCCUUAUGAGUGGAUUUAGCAGAUGGAAACUGAAAGAAGCCCAUCGUGUGUGCGUGUGUGUAUAUGUGUGUGUGUGCAUGAUAGUUGUAAAUGAAUGUCACUGUCAUCUAAGCAGUGUCGUGUUGUUCGUUUCUAAUAUUCCAUGAAAACAUGUCUGGCCAUGGGAGUAGAAUCACCUUGCUUGGAUUCAGGUGAGGAUUAGCCAGAGGAAGGGUAUCUGGCUGUAAAAAAUUUGCAUCAAAUAAACUCCACCUGACCCUUGCAUGUAUGAAAAAGGGGACAUUAAAUGAUGGCUAUGAAAGCAAAACAAUCUACAGAAUGAUGGAAUGAUUUCCCUAUUUCAAACUUGUUUAAACCAUAUUUUGUGUCUUAGCUCUAAAUCCUGUCUGUUUUCCUCCUUCUGCCAAUAAUAUUGAUGAAACUUUCUACUGUUACCUUAACAAUAUGUCUUUCAUAUACCAUUGACCAUUCUCUAUUAUAGCUCUAAAAACUGUUUUAAUAUCAGCAUUUGUUAUUCUAGUCUGUUUGGUGAUAUUUGGUCUCUUCCCAAAUUAACGACGCUGGAAUAGAAUAGAGUGCAUAAUAAGUGUCUUUAAUGUGUGCACAUAAGGUGGUUCCUGGUGAUAUAAUAGAUGAUUUAUAGGCAGACAGGCCAUCAUUCCGUUCUGGCAUGAAAUGGUUUGGCAUAGGGAGGAAGAGGAGGUGCUGGAAAGUCUAGCCAUUUGAAGGAUAUCACUGGGUAGACAUGAUGACCUUCUGAAUAAGAUUAAAGGAAUUUUAAAUAAAAUAAAAAUUGAUUCUUGAAAUUAAAUAGUUUUUUCGUUUUUUUUUAAAUAAAAUAUUUUUUACUAAUGAAAAUGAAAAUAUUCUUUUGUCUGGGAAAGAAAGCUAUUAUGUGAUUGGUGUUUAUUUAUUGAUGAUUGAGAGAUAUUUGGAAUCAGGAAUCUAUGACAUAAAACCAGAUACCAUGAAACAUUUUCAUUGAUCUGUCUGUUGCAUUUUAACUUCCUGUCAAAAGGUAAAAUGUUGGUGAAAAAACUAAUUUGUUCACAUUGUUGUAUCUGUGACCUGAGAACUUCUCAGGUAAGGAAACCUGUCUUGUAACAAAGCUUCUAUUCACUGUAUUUAGGUUUAAUAAAACCUCAAUGUAUGUCGCAACUGGAUGUGAUAUGUUGGGAGGGCAAAGAGCUUAGUGAUGAUAGGAGAUAAAACAUAGACUUAGUUAAUAAUUUACUUCAGUAAUCACACGGUUGUAAGUUCAAUCCUGCUCAAGUUAUCUUAAGUAAGUGUCUUUUACUACAGCCUCAGGUUGGCUCAACUCUUGUAAGUGAAAAUAAGUUGACAGAAUCUGUGUUGAAACUCACCAGCUUGGGUGUAAUUGUUUUCCACUCCCUCUAACACCACCCCUUGAACCUUAUGUGUCUUUCAUAUUGUCUACUCUGUUAAGAAAAAACAUUUGAACCAAGUCCCUGGGAUGAGAACAUCAGUACUUUCCUCCUUUCUUUUACAGCCUUGAGACACCUGGCAAAAAUGUCUUCCUCUAGUUUAAAAAAACAUGACUUUAAAAAUUUAGCCAAGGAGAAGAACAAUAACAAACACUGUUACCUGAGUAUAUUUUUUUAUAUGCAGCUAUCCAUCUAUUCAUUUACUGUUCCUCUAUCCACCCAUUUAGCCAUCCAUCUGUCUGUUCUUCCAUCCAUAUUUGCAGGAAGCUCAGCUCAUUUCUAAUCUGUCCUAAUUUGUGUCACUCGUGUCAGCACAAGAAAAUAAAUGAAAAAAGAAAGAAAGAAACACGUAUAAGUUGAUCUUGCGUUUGUUUGUCUUUUUU